GGUAUGCUAGAUUUGAUAUUAGAAUUAUAAUAUUUUGAGCUUUCAGUAAUGUUUCAAGAAAGCUGGGAUAAAACUUUGCUACUGGACCAUCAGUGGUUAAGGGAUCAACUAAAAUAAGGAGCAAAUUGAUGUUGAAGGACACAUGGCCUAUGAUGAUGCAUAAUUUAUUCAGUGAUUUAUUGAUAUAAGAUAUUGUAUUUGGCAUAAAGGCAUGGAAUUUAUAUAUGUGGAUACUUGUGUGCUUUUAGCUGUGGAGGAUGUUAGUCGGACGAAUGAAAGUGAUUGUAAUUUAUGUUUGGAUUAGCAUGCAUCAUUCAAGAAUUCAACGAUAAUGUUUUGCCAGGUUUCA